GGGGCUGAGCAGAAAGGGGUCAUCAGGCCCUUAAGCCCUUUCCUCCCAGCUCAUCCCAGACAAGGAGCUCCAAUGCCCAUCAGUGCAUAAAGAGGGUAGACCUCAACAGACAUAUGGGAAAACUGAGACAAAAGAUGGAGAAAUGAUCUGAUUAAACCACGUCGGAGUCAACGGUUAACAACAGGACUGAACCCAAGGACAGUACACCAAUAUCUCUGCAAUGUCUCUUUCCUGGCUAGUUGCUGAGGGCUGCAUGGUGGGCACAACUGUUCCGUGCCCUGCUUUAUCUGAUCCUGA